AAGCAGGGGUGCUCCCGACGGAGCUGAGAUUAUACCCUGUGAACCUGACGCGGAUAAUGCCGACGAAGGGAGCUUCAAUU
rnacentral:ncRNA from 1 species